rnacentral:rRNA from 1 species
AGUGAACGCUGGCGGUAGGCCUAACACAUGCAAGUCGAACGGCAGCACAGUAAGAGCUUGCUCUUACGGGUGGCGAGUGGCGGACGGGUGAGGAAUACAUCGGAAUCUACUUUUUCGUGGGGGAUAACGUAGGGAAACUUACGCUAAUACCGCAUACGACCUACGGGUGAAAGCAGGGGAUCUUCGGACCUUGCGCGAUUGAAUGAGACGAUGUCGGAGUAGCUAGUUGGCGGGGUAAAGGCCCACCAAGGCGACGAUCCGUAGCUGGUCUGAGAGGAUGAUCAGCCACACUGGAACUGAGACACGGUCCAGACUCCUACGGGAGGCAGCAGUGGGGAAUAUUGGACAAUGGGCGCAAGCCUGCUCCAGCCAUACCGCGUGGGUGAAGAAGGCCUUCGGGUUGUAAAGCCCUUUUGUUGGGAAAGAAAAGCAGCAGGUUAAUACCCCGCUGUUCUGACGGUACCCAAAGAAUAAGCACCGGCUAACUUCGUG